AUGGUUAACGUCCCUAAAACCCGCCGGACUUUCUGUAAGAAGUGUGGCAAGCACCAACCCCAUAAAGUGACACAGUACAAGAAGGGCAAGGAUUCUCUGUAUGCCCAGGGAAAGCGGCGUUAUGACAGGAAGCAGAGUGGCUAUGGUGGGCAAACUAAGCCAAUUUUCUGGAAAAAGGCUAAAACUACAAAGAUUGUGCUAAGGCUUGAGUGCAUUGAGCCCAACUGCAGAUCUAAGAGAAUGCUGGCUAUUAAAAGAUGCAAGCAUUUUGAACUGGGAGGAGAUAAGAAGAGAAAGGGCCAAGUGAUUCAGUUC
rnacentral:lncRNA from 1 species